rnacentral:lncRNA from 1 species
GUCGUUUUUGCACAGGCAGACGUGUGCAUUCUGGAGAGCAGGGAGUGAGUGUAAAGUUUAGGCUGCGUCAGGAUGCUGACUCCUCAGAAGUGUAACUUCGGCACUAUCCAGCCUGUGGGUGGAAUGGCAAUAGCGGAGAAUGGGAACUUCCUACUGGAGCUGUUUACGGUGACAGCCCAGGAUUUGUGCCACACUUGCUUCCUUCAUAUGCUGGCUUCAGGUUUCUGAUAGAUGAAUGGCACAGCUAUGGGCAAGCUCUGCAUUUCCCCUCCUCUCCUUUUUCUCAUCGUGGUUUGUACUUGCCUCUCAGCACCCAUCACACUGGAUGUAACUACAGGCAUGUCUCUCCUGUUUGACUGUAAACUCCUUGCUGGACACAUAUCUCAGGAGUCCUUACAGCCAUUUCAGUGCUGUUGCAAAGUGGAUAUUUAAUAAAUAUUUGUUGAAGGAA